GUUUUAUCUUCAGUGGAGAGAAGGUUUUCUGGCCUUACCUGGGGCCUUCUCUCCAGAGCACACAUUAUUAGCAGUGAUCUGCUAAUUUUAGCAUCUUUUGCGGUUGGAUAGGCUGAGAAUUUCUCAAAUCAUCUAGUCCUGGCUCUUUUUGCUUAAUGAUUCUUUCUUCAUUUCUCUCUUUCUUCUAGCGUCUUAGUGUAAGCAGCAAGAAGAAACCAGCCUGCAUCUUCAAUACUUCACUUAGAAAUCUCCUGAGUUGAAUACCCAAGUUUACCACUUUUAGUUCUGCUUUCCACACAAUGAUGAGAAAUUGGGGUUUUUCAGAUGUGAUUCCGUUGUCCAAGAUUCUUAAGAUGAAAACAAAGUUGAUAUCUCACUCACUUCGAUUUGAUGCACUUUACCUUCCAUAGCAAAUAUUUAUUACAUCCGACAAGACAAAGGCAACGGGCAGAAAAGUGUACAGCCAUUUCUGUCACACUGAGAAUCAAGCCUGGAUUGCCUCCAGUGAGAAGAUGAUACAGGACUAUUAUAAGGACAAGAUUUUUCAGGAUAAGACACAGUUCUCAUGUGUUCAGACAGAUUGCUUUUCAAAUCACUCUGUAUAGGGAUGGGUUAAACCCAGCUCUAAAAUAAAUAUUUAUAUGCCCUAAAGUUUCCAACUAGGAAGGCGGAAAGGCUCAGAUAUCAAUGACCAGCAUGGGCAGUGACAUGGGUGAAAUGUGGUGUUGCUGGCAUCAAAUUUUCUCAGCUUUCAACUAUUCUCUGUUUUUCUAGAGGAUUGAAUACAUCCUGAUAUUUGAGAACCAGUUGUUAGGCAAUGCAUUUGAAUUAUUAAUAAGAAUGAAGAGGUAACCAUGGCAAGAGAGGAAAAAAAUAAAACUAGCUCUCCAGGUUGCGGAGAUGGUACCUGCAAACUGCUAAGAUACAUAAAAGCAAGGGAAUACAACUUAGAGCAUAGAUGCUUAAAUGCACUUCCUUUCUCUCAUCCACUACCUUAAAGGUAGCAAUUAUGCUUUAUGUGUCCAUGAUAACAAAUGUCUUCUCCAUUCAUCUGUGGCUAGUAGCUUACAAGGCAAAGAUUGCACACAAGGUGACAGGUUUGCUCUCCUCCCUUCCCCACCCCCACUCCCGCACAUCCCCCUGUAAGAGGGACCUCUCAUCCACGUCUCCCAGAGAUUACUGCAAUUAGCAUGUUUCCUAUCAACCCUUCCUGUAAAUCUUUGGUUCAAGGAAGUUUCCUUCCAUCCCUCACCUAGAAGAAAGUAGACAAAAACACAGGCUCAGCACUUUCCAAGUCAAAAAAUAUAGUCAGGUCCUCACCAAACAUGGGCAAUUCUCUGCUCUUUAUCUAUGCAUUUCCUCAACCUUACAUUGACUCAAGGAAGAUAUGCUUCCCCUUAGGAGAGCCAAGUGAGUUAAAAACCAUUGUCAUAGUGUGCCCAAGUGUGAAAAUUAUUAAAGUACCCUUUUGUACAGCUCCUGGAUGAGAGGAGACAAUAGCUGGUGGGGCUGGAGUGCAGGUCUUUAAUCUUCUAUAGGAGUCACCCGUAAAAUUUGAUUCGUUCAAUAGAAGGGGUGCUGGAGUACCUGCUAGAAGUCAGGCCCACCCUGUGCUCUGUACUUGUCUGUACUUGACACACAUUUCUCUUGAGGGCCUUUUUUUUUUUUUUUUUUGGUGGACUUUCACUCUUGUUGCCCAGGCUGGAAUGCAGUGGCGCGAUCUCGGCUCACUGCAAUCUCUGCCUUCCAGGUUCAAGCGAUUCUCCUGCCUCAGCCUCCCUAGUAGCUGGGAUUACAGGCACCCGCCACCAGACCCAGCUAAUCUUUUUGGAAUUUUAGUAGAGACGGUGUUUCACCAUGUUGGCCAGGCUGGUCUUGAACUCCUGACCUCAGGCGAUCCGCCUGCCUCGGCCUCCCAAAGUGCUGGGAUUACAGGCAUGAGCCACCGCACCCGGCUGUCUUGAGGGCCUUUUGGACUUAGGAGGAAUCCAGAUCACAUAGAGAGAUAUUCCGUUGUAGGGUAGAGUAACACACAGGGAACACUGAGAUGAGGGGUCCUCCUUCUUGCCUAAACAAGUCAGGAAACAUUUGCUGAGGAGGGGGCCUUGAAUGUGGCAGGGGAUCUACAAUGCUGUCCACCCUGCUGGUGAUAACUCCUUGAAAGCUUAUAGCCUUGUUACCUUGCUCACCAAACUACAAUGGAUCCCCAGAAUAAUAAAUCCAAAUUCUUUUGAUGGCAACUGAACACCCUAAUUACCAUUCAGCAUGGUUCUCUUGCUCUUCCCUUCAAGCAAUACUAGUUUCUAUUCCUCCUGCUUAUCCUUCCUCCUGUGCUGCCAUUUAAAAUGUAUAUUUUUCCAACUGCCGCUUAUUCAAAUCCUCUAUUUUCUUUCGUAGUCCAGCUAAAGGCUUACUUUCUCCAAGAAACAUCUGGUUUCAUACACAUAUUUCUUUCACUAUACCUUCCGCCUCUAUUGCAAUGUCAUAAAUUUGUUCUGAUGUUAUUUUGAAAUAGUUUCUGUUGUGUAAGAGUACCUUGUCUCCCUACAGGGAUAAAAUUCCCAAAGACAAUAAAUUCAGAGUUCUAGCAGAUAGUUCAAAGAGCAGGAGGUUAUGAGAGAGAGUACCUCCCCUCCCUGAUCCUCAACUCUCAGGCUGAGCUGUUCUCUGGAUAGUGCAGCAGCUAAAGUCUUGGUUUCAAUGAAGAUACGUUUCCCUAUCCCCAGAACCUGUGCGGAGGAGCGGUCCUCUAAUGCGGUGUUGGUGAAGAAGGAUUCGAGAGGGAAAUACCAGGAAGCCCACAGCUCCAUUUCCCCUCCCAGAUUCUACAGAUGCAGGGUGGGUGGUCUCUAGGGAGACUUCUCCGGAACUAAGAUGUAUUAGUUCCGAGGACUGCCGUUACAAACACACAAACUUGGUGAUUUCAUAGAAGUUUGUUCUUGUAUAGUCUAGAGCCCAGAUGUCCAAAAUCAAGGACCAUGCUUCCUCCAGAAGCUCCACGGAAGAAUCCGCUGCAUACCUUCUCCUGGCUCCUGGUAGCUGCUGGCUGUCCUUGGUGGACUCUGGCUUAUGGCUGCAUUACUCCAAUCUCUGUCUCCUUGAUCAUAUUGCCUCUUUCUCUUCUCUCUGUCAAAUAAAUCUCCCUUACGCAUCUCUUAUAAGGGAACAUCAUUGGAUUUAGGGCCCAACCAGAUAGUCCAGGAUGACCUCUUCAUCUAACAGUCCUUCAUUUAAUUACAUCUGCAAAGACCCUUUUCCAAAUAGAGUCACAUUCAGAAGGUUCUGGGAAUUUGGACACGAACCUUUUUGCAGGCCAUCAUUCAACACCCACUACAUCAGGUUUCUGACAGUACCAUGGUAAUCGAAUUCUCUGAAUUUUCCUCUAACCAUGGUGAUUUACGAAGCAUACUCAUCAUUCAGCUUAAGUAUGACAAAUAAUAAAGUCACUUUCUGCUCCUGAGUUAUUGGCUGAAAUUUAUACAGGGAGCAUUUGCAAAGUGCUUUCACGAAAAAAAAAAGAUAAACUAACUCUGCCCUCAAGGAUAUUAUAAUCCAGUAGGAAAAGUAAAUAUGUACACAAGUUUAGGAGAGUUGAAUGAAGGUGAAAAACACAAUACUGUGAAGCAAGAUUGGGGAGAGAAUAAAAGCUGUUCCUUUUCUCUCUCUUUCUUCCCCCACAGCACUCUUGCUGGCAUGCAUUCAAACACCUUAUGCACAUCACAACUGUCCCAUUAGCUGAUGCUUUAGGUCACUUCUUUUGGCUGAAGGCCAAUGGAUACCCUUUGAUAAAUGUGACUUUCUGGAGUUCCCAUGAGCCCCAAAUCUGAACCUGUCAUACAGAAAAUUUAUAUUAAAUAUAUGGCAAAUGCCUCAAAAAACUCAAAGAAAAGCCAAAGUGAAUAAUACUAUUUUUUCAGAUUUAUUUUCUUUAGUAAUGUGAGUCUAUGGAUAAUUUUAUAUAAAGAAGAUAUAUAUUAUGUGCAAUAAAUACAUAUAAAGGACAUAUAAAUGAUAUAUAUGCAUAAUGUCUACUCUUUAUAGAGCUUCUGUUGCCUGUAUUUUAUACAGGACUGGAAAUAGAUACACAUGCAAUAUUAUCUACCACUAAAAAUUUUUAGCAAUUUUAACUUCUCCUUU
rnacentral:lncRNA from 1 species